UACAGAGGUGGCAAGCGUUGUUCGGAAUUACUGGGCGUAAAGGGCGCGUAGGCGGCCUUCUUAGUCGGACGUGAAAUCCCCCGGCUCAACCGGGGAACUGCGUCCGAUACUGGUGGGCUCGAAUCCGGGAGAGGGAUGUGGAAUUCCAGGUGUAGCGGUGAAAUGCGUAGAUAUCUGGAGGAACACCGGUGGCGAAGGCGGCAUCCUGGACCGGUAUUGACGCUGAGGCGCGAAAGCCAGGGGAGCAAACGGG
rnacentral:rRNA from 1 species